CUCUGUCUUUGACUCUUCAAUUCCAAGUUCAUCCUUGAAUUUCAUGGAGCCUUCUCAAUUAUCUUCUGGAGAGAUCCAUGUCAUCAUCGGCCCAAUGUUUAUAGGAAAAACCACGGCUCUCCUCUGUGACAUCCAGACUGCAAGCAAUAAUGGAAGAAAUGUAGCAGUGAUAAAAUCGAACAAGGAUACAAGAUAUGGAUUGGACUCUGCUGUGUCCCAUGAUGAGGUGAAGCUUCCAUGUUUUACCUUGGCUGAUCUAUCAUCAUUG